rnacentral:lncRNA from 1 species
GAUUGCCACAGUCUCUGAGAACACCAAGCAAGAAGCUAUAGAUGAAGUGAAAAGACAGUGGAGAGAAGAAGUUGCUUCACUUCAGGCUGUUAUGAAAGAAACAGUUCGUGACUAUGAGCACCAGUUCCACCUUAGGCUGGAGCAGGAGCGAACACAGUGGGCACAGUAUAGAGAAUCCGCAGAGAGGGAAAUAGCUGAUUUAAGAAGAAGGCUGUCUGAAGGUCAAGAGGAGGAAAAUUUAGAAAAUGAAAUGAAAAAGGAUCCCAUCCAGGAUACCAUAUUGCAUUUAGUUGUGUCUCCUUAGAUGCCUCUUGGCUGUGACAGUUUCUCAGAUUUUUCUUGUUUUUAAUGACCUUUCUGUCAUUUUUUAAAGUGCUUUUUAAAGGUUUUGUUUAUGAUGACAUUCAGCACUUGGAAUUGUGAAGUCAUAUUUAUAUUAAUAAAUAACUUGAUUUGUGAUC